rnacentral:rRNA from 1 species
UACGUAGGGCGCAAGCGUUAUCCGGAAUUAUUGGGCGUAAAGAGCUCGUAGGCGGUUCGAUAAGUCGGGUGUGAAACCUCCAGGCUCAACCUGGAGACGCCACCCGAUACUGUCGUGACUAGAGUCCAGUAGGGGAGCGUGGAAUUCCUGGUGUAGCGGUGAAAUGCGCAGAUAUCAGGAAGAACACCCGUGGCUAAGGCGGCUCUCUAGUACGGUACUGACGCUGAGACGCGAAAGCGUGGGGAGCGAACAGG